rnacentral:rRNA from 1 species
CCCAUCCAUGGGCCAGCCUGACGGACAUACCGCGUGAGGGAGGAAGGCUCUUGGGUCGUAAACCUCUUUUCUCAAGGAAGAAGAAAGUGACGGUACUUGAGGAAUAAGCAUCGGCUAACUCCGUGCCAGCAGCCGCGGUAAUACGGAGGAUGCAAGCGUUAUCCGGAAUGAUUGGGCGUAAAGGGUCUGCAGGUGGAACUGAAAGUCUGCUGUUAAAGAGUUUGGCUUAACCAAAUAAAAGCGGUGGAAACUACAGAACUAGAGUGCGGUAGGGGCAAAAGGAAUUCCUGGUGUAGCGGUGAAAUGCGUAGAUAUCAGGAAGAACACCGGUGGCGAAAGCGUUUUGCUAGACCGUAACUGACACUGAGGGACGAAAGCUAGGGGAGCGAAUGGGAUUAGAUACCCCAGUAGUCCUAGCCGUAAACGAUGGAUACUAGGCGUGGCUUGUAUCGACCCGAGCCGUGCCGGAGCUAACGCGUUAAGUAUCCCGCCUGGGGAGUACGCACGCAAGUGUGAAACUCAAAGGAAUUGACGGGGGCCCGCACAAGCGGUGGAGUAUGUGGUUUAAUUCGAUGCAACGCGAAGAACCUUACCAAGGCUUGACAUCCUGCGAAUCCUGGUGAAAGCUGGGAGUGCCUUAGGGAGCGCAGAGACAGGUGGUGCAUGGCUGUCGUCAGCUCGUGUCGUGAGAUGUUGGGUUAAGUCCCGCAACGAGCGCAACCCUCGUUUUUAGUUGCCAGCAUUAAGUUGGGCACUCUAGAGAGACUGCCGGUGACAAACCGGAGGAAGGUGAGGAUGACGUCAAGUCAGCAUGCCCCCUUACGUCUUGGGGCUACACACGUACUACAAAUG